UACGGAGGAUGCAAGCGUUAUCCGGAAUGAUUGGGCGUAAAGCGUCCGCAGGUGGCAAUGUAAGUCUGCUGUCAAAGCGUCUGGCUCAACCAGAUAAAGGCAGUGGAAACUACAUAGCUAGAGUAAGGUAGGGGUAGAGGGAAUUCCUGGUGUAGCGGUGGAAUGCGCAGAUAUCAGGAGGAACACCGAUGGCGAAGGCAGCUCGCUGGGACGGUACUGACGCUGAGGCGCGAAAGCGUGGGGAGCGAACAGG
rnacentral:rRNA from 1 species